UUUUGACCUCGGAUCAGGUAGGGAUACCCGCUGAACUUAAGCAUAUCAAUAAGCGGAGGC
rnacentral:rRNA from 1 species